AAGCACGGCUUCGCAGCGCGCACACGGGGAGCCCGCUCCCAUGGAUGCUGCGAGGAAAGUCCCCGUGCCUUGGUGCAGAGAGUGCGUGUGGGA
rnacentral:RNase_MRP_RNA from 1 species